CUGCUUGCUGCUCUGACAAGUGCCUCUCAACUCUGCUCGCAGCUUCUCUCCUUCUGCAUGCCCUUCUCUAUUCCCUGUAGUAGGCGUAGCGAGGAAACGGUAUGUGACGGGGUCAGGUUUCCUAUGCUCAGGGCUUGCCAAGCGCUGCCCCACAAUAGGACAGCAGGUAAGCAAGGGGUGUAGACAAAGCGGGACAAGAAUAUUUAAGUGCCUACCACAUUUUAAUAAACGCCAUUUUGCCUCACGCACUCUGGGGUCUGUGUGAGCAUUUGGCCCCGGCCCGGGUGGGGACGGUUUCGCUGGCAAGUGGCGCCCUCGGUCAGCAGAGGACGAACAAUGAGAGACUACUACUACAAGUGGUGACCCCGACGUGAUCUGCCUAUCGAGGGUUAACCACCCGGCGUGCCCGUGAAGCGGAGAAGAGCCUGCGGAGUGGCGGCAGGUCGCUCACGGAAGACACAUCGCGGAGAAGAGCCUGUGAAGUGGCGGCAGGUCGCGUGUGUAACCAUGGAACAGAUUAUUAAGGAACGGAGUGUUAUGGAGCCAUCCAGAGGGAAACUUGGCCAGUCGGAAGGAAGAAUGUCGGCUGGGGUAAGGACGCGACCGAGGACGCAGCCAACGAGAAAUUGUGUCUUCCUUCUCAGUAUAAGCCUUGUGGUCG
rnacentral:lncRNA from 1 species